CCCCAGUUCCAUAUGUUUAUAUGUAGAGACUAUUACCUUGUGUAUCUCAGCUGACCUCAACUUCCAGGUGGUGCAUGAGGUUGAAAAGAUCCUUGACAAAGAUAUUGAAUAUAAUGGGGCCAAGAACAGAUCCCUGCAGGACUCCACUAGAAACAUCCUAACUGGAUGAUGAUUUCCCAUUUACAAUGUCACAAAGAUUACCGUUGCAAUGUUCAGAUCUGCACAUAAAGGCG